UACGGAGGAUCCGAGCGUUAUCCGGAUUUAUUGGGUUUAAAGGGUGCGUAGGCGGUUUGGUAAGUCAGCGGUAAAACUUCGGGGCUCAACCCCGUUUAGCCGUUGAAACUGUGUGGCUGGAGACGGAGAGAAGUAGGCGGAAUGCGCGGUGUAGCGGUGAAAUGCAUAGAUAUCGCGCAGAACUCCGAUUGCGAAGGCAGCCUACCGGCUCCACACUGACGCUGAGGCACGAAAGCGUGGGUAUCGAA
rnacentral:rRNA from 1 species